CUUCAACCAUUGCAUUACACCAUCGUGGAUGUUCCAAAGCUUAUCUAACAGUCUUAGGUACAUAUACAUUAGACAAAGUGCUGACAAGAGCAUAGUAGGAAGGAGACAAACAAUGAUAACUCACAAAAUUAUAAAUGGGAUAAGGAUUUCGAGACGAACAAAUACUUUUUCAGAUGGCAAUGGGAGGAAUAGCAUCAUCUGUUGAACGCGAGACCAGAAUAGGUGAAGAUG
rnacentral:misc_RNA from 1 species